ACUACGGGCGGCUGCAGUGAGGAAUAUUGGUCAAUGGGCGGAAGCCUGAACCAGCCAAGUAGCGUGCAGGAUGACGGCCCUACGGGUUGUAAACUGCUUUUAUACGGGAAUAACGCGCCUUACGUGUAGGGCUUUGCAUGUACCGUAUGAAUAAGGACCGGCUAAUUCCGUGCCAGCAGCCGCGGUAAUACGGAAGGUCCGGGCGUUAUCCGGAUUUAUUGGGUUUAAAGGGAGCGUAGGCCGCAUGUCAAGCGUGCUGUGAAAUGUCCGGGCUCAACCCGGGCCUUGCAGCGCGAACUGGCGUGCUUGAGUCCGCGGAAAGCAGGCGGAAUUCGUCGUGUAGCGGUGAAAUGCUUAGAUAUGACGAAGAACCCCGAUUGCGAAGGCAGCUUGCUGCAGCGGAACUGACGCUGAUGCUCGAAAGCGCGGGUAUCGAACAGGAUUAGAUACCCCAGUAGUC
rnacentral:rRNA from 1 species